GACAGAGGGGGCAAGCGUUGCUCGGAAUCACUGGGCGUAAAGGGCGCGUAGGCGGCCUGCUAAGUCGAACGUGAAAUCCCUGGGCUCAACCCAGGAACUGCGUCCGAUACUGGUUGGCUUGAAUCCGGGAGAGGGACGUGGAAUUCCAAGGUGUAGCGGUGAAAUGCGUAGAUAUCUGGAGGAACACCGGUGGCGAAGGCGACGUC
rnacentral:rRNA from 1 species